CCUACGGGUGGCUGCAGUGAGGAAUAUUGGUCAAUGGACGAGAGUCUGAACCAGCCAAGUAGCGUGAAGGAUGACUGCCCUAUGGGUUGUAAACUUCUUUUAUAUGGGAAUAAAAUGUUCCACGUGUGGGUUUUUGUAUGUACCAUAUGAAUAAGGAUCGGCUAACUCCGUGCCAGCAGCCGCGGUAAUACGGAGGAUCCGAGCGUUAUCCGGAUUUAUUGGGUUUAAAGGGUGCGUAGGUGGGUUGUUAAGUCAGUUGGGAAAGUUUGCGGCUCAACCGUAAAAUUGCAGUUGAAACUGGCAGUCUUGAGUACAGUAGAGGUGGGCGGAAUGCGUGGUGUAGCGGUGAAAUGCUUAGAUAUCACGCAGAACUCCGAUUGCGAAGGCAGCUCACUGGACUACAACUGACACUGAGGCACGAAAGUGUGGGUAUCAAACAGGAUUAGAUACCCCGGUAGUC
rnacentral:rRNA from 1 species